rnacentral:rRNA from 1 species
AUGAGUGGCGAACGGGUGAGUAACACGUGAGUAACCUGCCCUCUUCUUUGGGAUAACGCCCGGAAACGGGUGCUAAUACUGGAUAUUCACUGAUCUUCGCAUGGGGGUUGGUGGAAAGGUUUUUUCUGGUGGGGGAUGGGCUCGCGGCCUAUCAGCUUGUUAGUGGGGUGAUGGCCUACCAAGGCUUUGACGGGUAGCCGGCCUGAGAGGGUGACCGGUCACAUUGGGACUGAGAUACGGCCCAG